rnacentral:rRNA from 1 species
GAUGAACGCUGACAGAAUGCUUAACACAUGCGAGUCAACUUGAACUUCGGUUUGGGUGGCGGACGGGUGAGUAACGCGUACAGAACUUGCCUCACAGAUAGGGACAACAUUUGGAAACGAAUGCUAAUACCUGAUAUUAUGAUUAUAUGGCAUCGUAUAAUUAUGAAAGCUAUAUGCGCUGUGAGAGAGCUUUGCGUCCCAUUAGCUAGUUGGAGAGGUAACGGCUCACCAAGGCGAUGAUGGGUAGCCGGCCUGAGAGGGUGAUCGGCCACAAGGGGACUGAGACACGGCCCUUACUCCUACGGGAGGCAGCAGUGGGGAAUAUUGGACAAUGGACCAAGAGUCUGAUCCAGCAAUUCUGUGUGCACGAUGAAGUUUUUCGGAAUGUAAAGUGCUUUCAGUUGGGAAGAAAAAAAUGACGGUACCAACAGAAGAAGUGACGGCUAAAUACGUG